CCCUACCCCCCUACCACAUUGAGACAUCCACGGAAUCAUGCAGAGUUCCUUUUUUGCCGACAAGAAAACAGGGAGACAGGUGGUGCAUCAGGUCGUCAGCUGAGAUGUUGGGAAAGUCCCGCAAUCAGGCCAACCCCUCAACCCGGACCUACAUGUUAGGGAGGGGCAUCAGGAGAGGACCGGCGGGCAAAAAGGGAGAAAGGUGGGGAUGAGUCAAAAUCAUCAUGCCCCUUAUGACUGGGGACCACACGUAUACAAAUGGUCGUUAACAGAGGGAAGAAGACCGAUAGGGAGCAAACACCCAAAAAAAGAGAUCUCAGUUCGGAUUGCAGGCUGCAACCUCGCCUGCAUGAAGCAUGGAAUCUGCUAGUAAUCGCAGAUCAGCAUACGCGGGAUUCAC
rnacentral:rRNA from 1 species